rnacentral:tRNA from 1 species
GCCUGGCUGGCUCAGUCAGUAGAGCAUCGGACUCUUGAUUUCUGGGUUGUGAGUUUGAGCCCCAUGCUGGGUA